rnacentral:rRNA from 1 species
AUACGAAGGGUGCAAGCGUUACUCGGAAUUACUGGGCGUAAAGCGUGCGUAGGUGGUUGUUUAAGUCCGUUGUGAAAGCCCUGGGCUCAACCUGGGAAUUGCAGUGGAUACUGGGCAACUAGAGUGUGGUAGAGGAUGGCGGAAUUCCCGGUGUAGCAGUGAAAUGCGUAGAGAUCGGGAGGAACAUCUGUGGCGAAGGCGGCCAUCUGGACCAACACUGACACUGAGGCACGAAAGCGUGGGGAGCAAACAGGAUUAGAUACCCUGGUAGUCCACGCCCUAAACGAUGCGAACUGGAUGUUGGGUGCAACUUGGCACGCAGUAUCGAAGCUAACGCGUUAAGUUCGCCGCCUGGGGAGUACGGUCGCAAGACUGAA